UCUUGAGGUUGACCCUUCAGUAGGUCAGAGAGAGCUGGGUUGAUGUUAAAGAGGGCUGAGAAGAAAUUCAAACAACAAACUGGUUUGAGGAUCAUGUUUGGGCCCCAGGUCAGUCUUCCAGGACUCCGUAUCUCCAUGUCACAUUCCAGACAAACUGAUGGAUUACAACCCAGCAUCAGGACUAGCAUUAAAGCUUGGAAGGGGUAAAACGAGUCAUGGCACUCCAUCCUUUUAUCAUGCAGACUUUAUAAAGUGCUCCAGUUCUUAUGGUGUUUUCUGACCAGGAUCUGUACCAAGCAGAUGAACGUGCCAAGAUGUCUUCGUUCUCCCUGGCUGCACAUCCUCCUGUAGUCUUCAUGCCGGCCUUCGUUUGACCUGUUUUUGGGAAGUUCUGCCUUUUCCUUCUAUUUUAAUCUACACUCUGUUGCCACCAUUACAUAUCCAUGCAUGUAGAGUUGAUGGUAGUAUACUAAAACUUUUUAGAAGAGAAGAUAUGAAAACCCAAAUGGAGUGAAUAGCUAACCAGAAGACAUAUAUUAAAUAAGCAAAAUUCCCAACUAUGUUGCUGGUGUGGUAUUUAUUCUGUUCUCAGUAAUCUUUCAAUAUUACAUUGAUGAUGUUGUCUCCACAUUUCAUCAUAAUCAGGAUGUAGAUGCAAAUGAUAUUUUACUGUAAUGAAGAUACAGAUGCCGAUUAGAGCAAAAAUGAAAAUUUCAUCUUGGCAUCUCUGAUCUCUAAUUCUCAGUGGCUUCCUCCUACUGUUGAUGUCUAUCCCUAACUGUGGGUAUUUAGAGGUCUCAGCUGGAAUUUCACCUCCCAGUGCUAACAUGUGGAUCAACAAUCAAAGCUCGCUAGAUGAUUUUAUCCUAUUGGGAUUUUCUGACCGUCCCUGGCUAGAGACACCCCUCUGUAAUCUUUCUGGUGGCCUACAUCUUUUCCCUAUUUGGAAAUAUCUCCAUUAUCCUAGUUUCCCAUCUGGAUCCCCAGCUUGACAGUCCCAUGUACUUUUUUGUCUCUAAUCUAUCCUUUCUGGACCUCUGCUAUACCACCAGCACUGUCCCACAGAUGCUGGUCAACCUCCGGGGACCAGAAAAGACCAUUAGCUAUGGGGGUUGUGUUGCCCAACUCUAUAUAUUUUUGGCCCUGGGUUCUACUGAAUGCAUACUUCUAGCCAUCAUGGCCUUUGACCGUUACGCUGCCAUUUGCAAGCCCCUUCACUACCCAGUCAUCAUGAACCAUAGACGCUGUAUCCACAUGGCUGCUGGCACUUGGAUCAGUGGCUUUGCUAACUCCCUUGUCCAGUCCACUCUCACAGUGGUGGCCCCAAGAUGUGGACAGAGGGUGUUGGACCAUUUCUUCUGUGAAGUUCCAGCCCUUUUGAAACUAGCCUGUAUUGAUAUUCGUGUGAAUGAAAUGGAGCUCAAUGUACUAGGCGCUUUGCUUCUCCUGAUGCCACUCACCCUCAUCCUGGGCACUUAUGUGUUCAUUGCUCAGGCAGUAAUGAGAAUCUGCUCUGCUGAAAGUCGCUGGAAGGCUUUCAAUACCUGUGCCUCACAUUUGCUGGUGGUCUCCCUCUUCUACUUCACAGCCAUCAGUAUGUAUGUCCAGCCUCCCUCUAGCUAUUCUCAUGACCGGGGGAAGAUCAUGGCUCUCUUUUAUGGCAUUGUCACACCCACCCUCAACCCAUUCAUCUACACAUUGAGAAACAAGGAUGUGAAAGCUGCCCUGAGAAGGUCACUGACUAAAGAGUUUUGGAUUAAGACAAGAUGAUAUCUGAAAAGAAGUCCUAAGAAGCGAGGAUAGAUGUGUUUGACUUUCAAAAAGAUGUUGGACAUGGAAUUGAUGAGGGAACAGUAUCAAGUGACACAAAGUUUACAAGUGGAACAAGACUAAGAAAAAAACAAUUAACUCUUGGUAAAAUCUACAUAGCAUUUUUUCACUUACGAGACUAUCUGCUUUACAAUAUUGGAUUCCAUCAAGUCAGUCUUUUUUCUCCCUAUUCCUAAUGACUAGCUAAUCUAGUUAAAGUAAGGGAAAAUGGUAUAAUAGCUAGAGAAAAAGAUACUGAGAAAGUUUAGGAAAUAUAUUUAGCAUAAAUUGUUUAUAAAUGAAUCCCAAUUAAAUUAGAAAUGAUCCCAACUCUUAGAAAAACAUGCCAGUACUAUCGUGAGGUAAUUUUGAUCAACAUGUAUUGCCACCAUUUAGCCAUCUUCUAACAUUCGAUGUCCAAUUAUAUCACCCUCAAAUGCUUUUGUAAGGUCUCACAGGCAAGUAAAAUCAAGAGACAAUUAGUUCAAAAACAUUAAGAUGGAAUUAUGGAAAGAGAAAUUAAUGAACAAAUUUAGAGGUGAUGAUUUUAAAUAUAUUUUUUUUGCCAUGAAUUCUUUUAAAUACAAAUUUUUUUUGCCAUAAAUGUUUUGCCUUAGUCAAUCUUAUGCUCUUGUGGUACACAACAAUGAGGCCUAGGUCAAUGCAAAUAGAACUUACUCUGGGGGGAAAGAUGAACAGUGAGAUGCUUUGGAUAGUGAUCAGCAGGGGAAAAACCUGAGGUGGAAAAAAUUCUAAUUUAGGGACACAAACUCAGUGGGAAUUUACAUGUUUUGACAAGGCAGCUUUCUUCACCACUUGACUGGGUAAUUUAGUCCUAUUUCAGUGUGGGGGUUUGAGAAUACCAUGUGGAAUUCAAAACUUUGGUUGAUCUAUUAUCUUUAUUUAGAAAAAAAAGACUUUUAUAGCCUUUUGCUAUAAACUGCCUCACAAACCUAUGAGCCGAAGAAACCAAGACAAAAUAGAGUGAGUUCACCAAAAAAUCCACAUCAUUAAAAGAACAGUGCAAAGCUCUAUUUCCUGUACUGUGAGCAUGUCCACUUUCUGUGGCUCCCGGUGGUGAGACAGAUGAGAAGCUGGAACACAGAUAAAAGGUUUUUGGGAACACUUUUGAAGGCCUGUGGCUAUAUAAGAGAAAGUGAGUUCAUUUCCUUAAUUCUAGUAUAAUCUGGAAAAGGAUCCUAGACAUUAUGCAUUUUUUUGAUCACAGUAUUUUUCCCAACCCAUGGUUCAUUUAUACAUGGAGUCUGCUA
ensembl:lncRNA LINC03003 long intergenic non-protein coding RNA 3003